CCUACGGGUGGCAGCAGUGAGGAAUAUUGGUCAAUGGGCUUACGCCUGAACCAGCCAAGUCGCGUGAGGGAAGACUGCCCUAUGGGUUGUAAACCUCUUUUGUCAGGGAGCAACGCCGGCUACGUGUAGCCGGUCUGAGAGUACCUGAAGAAAAAGCAUCGGCUAACUCCGUUCCAGCAGCCGCGGUAAUACGGAGGAUGCGAGCGUUAUCCGGAUUUAUUGGGUUUAAAGGGUGCGUAGGCGGAAUGCCAAGUCAGCGGUAAAAUCGCGGGGCUCAACCUCGCUCCGCCGUUGAAACUGGCGUUCUUGAGUGGGCGAGAAGUAUGCGGAAUGCGUGGUGUAGCGGUGAAAUGCAUAGAUAUCACGCAGAACUCCGAUUGCGAAGGCAGCAUACCGGCGCGCAACUGACGCUGAAGCACGAAAGCGUGGGUAUCGAACAGGAUUAGAUACCCGGGUAGUC
rnacentral:rRNA from 1 species